AGCGGCGAAAGGGUGAGUAACGCGUGGAUACCUACCCCCAGGCCCGGGAUAGUGUUGGGAAACCGGCAGUAAUACCGGAUAACAUCUCCGGAUCAAAGGUGUGAUUCCGCCUGAGGAUGGGUCCGCGUCCUAUUAGCUUGUUGGUGGGGUAAAGGCCUACCAAGGCAAAGAUGGGUACCGGGUGUGAGAGCAUGGCCCGGCACACUGGGACUGAGACACUGCCCAGACACCUACGGGUGGCUGCAGUCGAGAAUCUUCCGCAAUGGACGCAAGUCUGACGGAGCGACGCCGCGUGCGGGAUGAAGGCCUUCGGGUUGUAAACCGCUGUCAGUGGGGAGCAAAUCGGUGGGGGCUAUCCCCCAUUGUUGAGCGAUCCGCAGAGGAAGCGCAGGCUAAGUUCGUGCCAGCAGCCGCGGUAACACGAACUGCGCAAACGU
rnacentral:rRNA from 1 species